CCUACGGGAGGCAGCAGUGAGGAAUAUUGGUCAAUGGACGCAAGUCUGAACCAGCCAUGCCGCGUGCAGGAAGAAGGCUCUAUGAGUUGUAAACUGCUUUUGUCCGAGGGUAAAGGCAGAUACGCGUAUCUGUCUGAAAGUAACGGACGAAUAAGGAUCGGCUAACUCCGUGCCAGCAGCCGCGGUAAUACGGAGGAUUCAAGCGUUAUCCGGAUUUCUUGGGUUUAAAGGGUGCGUAGGCGGUCGGAUAAGUUAGAGGUGAAAUUCCGAGGCUCAACUUCGGAAUUGCCUCUGAUACUGUCGGGCUAGAGAGUAGGUGCGGUAGGCGGAAUGUAUGGUGUAGCGGUGAAAUGCUUAGAGAUCAUACAGAACACCGAUUGCGAAGGCAGCUUACCAAGCUACUUCUGACGUUGAGGCACGAAAGCGUGGGGAGCAAACAGGAUUAGAUACCCCAGUAGUC
rnacentral:rRNA from 1 species